UACGUAGGGGGCGAGCGUUGUCCGGAGUUACUGGGCGUAAAGCGCUUGUAGGCGGUCCACCAAGUUUGGGGUGACAGUUGCCGACUUAAUCGGCAAAGUGCCUCAAAGACUGGCGGACUUGAGGGCGACAGAGGGACAUGGAACUCCAGGUGUAGUGGUGAAAUGCGUAGAUAUCUGGAAGAACACCAAAGGCGAAGGCAGUGCCCUGGGUGGUAGCUGACGCUGAGAGGCGAAAGCGAGGGGAGCGAACGGG
rnacentral:rRNA from 1 species